rnacentral:rRNA from 1 species
AGGGAAUAUUGCACAAUGGGGGGCAACCCUGAUGCAGCGACGCCGCGUGGGUGAUGACGGCCUUCGGGUUGUAAAGCCCUUUUGCCACUGAUGAGGAAGGACAGUAGGUGGCGAAUAAGCCUCGGCUAACUACGUGCC